rnacentral:lncRNA from 1 species
CUGCCUGCCCAGCUGCCUGGCUUCUGCCUCGCCUGGGCAGUGGAGCCUGGGCCGGAGGACAGCUGACCGGGAACGGGAGGUGGACGCAGUUCUGUUUCCCUGGUGACUCUGACGUGCAGAGUUGGAGCUGCCCACUCUAUGAACCAGGCUCUGGCGAGGACAAGAUGGGAAGGAAAGAGCUCGGGCACUGGGGGAGACAGCGGGGACUUUUCUUCCUGCCCCGGUCUGCGGUCCUUGACAAGUUUCCUCAGCCGACAAGAGAUGCUCACACCCACUGCCGAGGGCAGGUACCUCGAAGGAGAGUGGGUUCUGAACAUGGCGCCCGGAGUUCAGACGUCACGCCGAAGCGGUUCUCACGGAAUGCAGCUCCACCUCCCAGAACCCAGGCCUUCCCUGGGGCCAGAAGCUCUUCACAGCAUCUCAGCUGCCCGGGCUGGCUGGUCCUUAGGAGAGCUGUCCACUGUGCAGGCAACAAAAUGCUGCUUAUUAAGGCCCUAAAUCUUCUCUGUUCUUUCUGCCUUCCAUUGCUCAACUUCCACACCCCCCUUUUCCUCCUUAGACUGAAGACUUUGCCUCCGAUCAGCACAAUCUCCAAAUCAGAGCAUGAAGGCCAUCAGGAUGGUUGUAGAAAGCCAAUAAAGACCCUUCUGCAUGGACAUUGAGCGCCUGUCUGUGAUGACCCAUAGGGCCUAGAGGGAGGGAGGAGGUCCAGCCCCUCUAGAAGGAGGCAGGCGCAGACGCUGAAGCCUUCCCUGCUCAGGUUAAAGGCAUCAGCUGGAGGGGACCCCGCUGUAGAGCGGUGUGACUAAGUGGGCACUGGACAUGGAUGCUGGAGUCAGUUCAGUGGGCUUCAAAUCAAAAUUGUCACUUAGAAGAUCAGAAACCAUGGGUGAAUCACUGUUUCUCUGCAGUUCAACUCUUUAAUCUUUGAAAUGAAGAC